CAGCAGCCGCGGUAAUACGAAGGGUGCAAGCGUUACUCGGAAUUACUGGGCGUAAAGCGUGCGUAGGUGGUGGUUUAAGUCCGUUGUGAAAGCCCUGGGCUCAACCUGGGAAUUGCAGUGGAUACUGGGUCACUAGAGUGUGGUAGAGGAUAGUGGAAUUUCCGGUGUAGCAGUGAAAUGCGUAGAGAUCGGAAGGAACAUCUGUGGCGAAGGCGACUAUCUGGGCCAACACUGACACUGAGGCACGAAAGCGUGGGGAGCGAACAGGAUUAGAUACCCCUGUAGUCCCUGUCUCUUAUAC
rnacentral:rRNA from 1 species